GUAGUACGUUGUUUUGAUGUUUUCAACCCCAUCACAGCCAUCAAUCUCACACUUUAAACAGCUUUACCUCCACACUUUUGUCAUCGUUUAAACCUAUUAUGACAUCCAUGAAGCCUUUGCACCCUUUUUUAUUGCACUUGUACCUCUUGUAUGGGCAUCCUUGGGCAGUGUGGCCUUCAUCUUCACAGAGUUGGCAUCCCUGCUAGAAGAUUAGGUAUUAGAGAAGAAGACACCCUGAGUUACAUAUAAAUUGACUUUAGGACAUUUUUCUGCCAUUAAAAAGCUUGUAACAAAAAAAUAAAAAUAAAAAUUGGUUUACAAACCUGUUUUGGUACAUAAUAUAGAAUUUUUGAUCCACCCAUUAAAUCCUUACUAGUUUGGUUGGUAGUUGCAGAUGUGAAGGAAGAAGGGAGUAGAGAAGAGGCGUUUGGUUGAUAGUUUUAGACUUUCAGUUGAAGAGGGAAAGAAGAGAAGAAGAUGGAGUUGAAGUGAAGAAGAAGAUGUUAUUUUAUAAGGGUUGGUAGUGACCGUUGGUAACAACUACAUUUUUUAAACCGUUGGAUUAAGUGUUAUCGGAUUGUGACACGUGGACAUUUAUUUGAAUUUUAAAUUUGGUUGAGUUGCAAGUUCAGCACGUGCACUGCACAUGCAGGGUAUUCUGGGUAUUUAAGAAAUAUCAGUUCUUUGACUUGAGUCAACUGUUAGUCUUAAUAGUCAACUGACGGAAAGGCGACCUAUAGUCUAAAUAGCAUUAAAAAACGUCUCAAAACCUAAAUACCUAUUAUUUAGGUGUUCCAAAACCUAAACCACCCCCCCCCCACCCCCCAAAAAAAAAAAAAUACUGGGGUUAGUCCACCCCCAUAUUCCAAAUCAAUAAAAUGAAACAUUUUGAAACAGAUUGGGAAAAAAAAGGGGUUAAGAGCAUUACAAUAGUAGGGUUAAGAGUCCAUUAGCUUGGCUCUGGUGAGAUGAUGUCCACUCUCAGACGGAGAAGUUGAGACGAGUUUUGAACUUGAUUUCCUCAUCUAUAUACUCUAUGCUGUCAGGGGCGGCGCCUAGGCGCUAUUUUGGGAAGGGGUCGCUUCGCUGCAGCAAAUGAGCGCCUAAAACGCUUCGAUCAGCCUGGGCGCCGCCCAGGCGCAGCGCUCUGCUCAGGGCGGUCAACACAAAGGCGCUCAAGCGGCCCAAAAAACAAAAAAAGCCCAUGGAUGAGUCCAGAAGCUGCUGCUGUCCUCUUCUCCUCUUCUCCGCUGCUGCUGCCUGCUGCUGCUGCUGUCCUCUUCUCUCUACUCCGGCUGCUGCUGCCUGCUGCCUGCUGCUGUCCUCUUCUCUUCUCUCUACUCCGGCUGUAUACAGUUAACUGUAUUGCUGUGAUAUGCUGAUUGACUGUAUUGCUGUAAAUCUGUGAUGCUGAUUGCUGUCAGGGGUCUGAUCAGGGCGCCGCCUGGGCGCCGCCUAGGCGGUCGAGGCGGUGAGGCAGAAACCGAGCGCCUGGCGCUUCGCUCCGCCCCUGACAGCAUAGAUUAUACUAUAUUAAAGCAGAAAAUACCCCUAAGAAAAUAUCUCUUCAAUUAGGCUAUCAAUUAGAUUGAAAUUGAUAGCCUAAUUGAAGAGAAUUUUGAUUAAGUUUGGGUAUAUUUGUAAUUACACAAAAGUGGACCACCAUCACAGAUAUAAUUAAGCCCAGUUAGACCAUGGGAAUAAUUAAGCCCAAUAAAAAAAAAUUAAAAGAAUACCCAAUCCCAAGUAUAAUCAAGUCCAGCCCAUACCCAGUUGGACCAAAUCACAAGCAUAAUUAAGCCCAGUAAAAAAAAUUAAAAGUAUACCCACUCCCAAGUAGAAUAAAAUAUAGUAAAACCUCGAUAAAUUAAUAGCCUUGGGAAUAGAGAAAAUUAUUAAUUAAACGAGAUAUUAAUUUAUCGAUUAAUUAAUAAACUAUUAAUUUACAUAAACAAUAUAUUUUCAUGUAUAUCUUUCUUUUUAGGGGGCUAACAUGAUGAAGCUGGAUAAUCAUUUUAUUCUAGAACCCGUUCCACGAAAAGAAAUACUAAAAUCGAUAAUGAUAUUGGAAUAAUUUCUUCUUGCAAUACAAAAUACAACAUCAGAUCAACUCAUCACACUACAAAAAUUUAGAGACGAGGUUCAAACCAAAAUCAAUUUUGAGAAAAAAAAAAUAAUAAUUGACUUUCAUUAUAAAAAAAUAUAAAAUAUAUUUAUAUAUCAAAAAAAUAUUAAUUUAUAUAUUAGUUGGGCGUUCAAUGAUUUUUCUAAAAUGUAUUAAUUAUCUAAUAAAUUUAGCGAAAUAUUAAUUUAUAAACAUAUGCCCAAGUUGGGACCAGCCAAAAAUAUUAUUUAAAGGAGAUAAUUAAUUUAUCGGGUAUUAUCUUAUCGAGGUUUUAUUAUAUCUUUUCAAUUAUGCUGAAAUUGAUAAAUUAAUUGAAGAGAAAUUCAUUCAAUUUUGGGUAUUUUUGUAACUACACAAAAUAAAUAAAUAUGGGUCAAUAUGUAAUUUCACAUAUUAAAUACAACAACCUUCAUAAGUAACCCUAACUCGAAUUCUUUAUAAGCAGUAAACCACAUUAGCACCACUAAAUCUAAUACCAGUAAUUGACUACCAUUGAUAAAAGGGGUAUUUAGACUUUGGGACACCUAAUAAUAGGGGUAUUUGGUCUUAGUCUCACUUAAUGAUGUAAUUAGGUUUUGGGGCACCCUUCUGUCUGUACUAACAGUUGACCUGUCUGACCGUUUGUUGACUUUGGUCAAGAUAAAACAUAUUUUGAAAAUAGCCAAAAUACCCCUAAAGUCACGUGGUCCACUUAAAUUUGAAACUCUUAGCAGCGUAUACGUGUCAAAUAUCUAAUAAAACUAUCCGACGGUUAUUGUGAUAAAGCCGUUGGGAACAUAUUUUCGAAAAUAGCUGUUGGUCUACACCUUCUCUUCAUGAUAAAUAGCUCUCAAUCACCACCACCACCACACUACAACAUCAUAUAGCUCUCAAUCACCACCACCACCACACUACAACGACGACGACGACCACCACCACCAUCUACAUAAACAUUUUUGAUUUCGUUAUACCUUAUUUCCAUCCACCACAAAAGAAGAAUGAGAGGUGCAAAGGUUAUAGUUAUUAUCCCAGAGGUAAACUUACUCAUUAAUGGCAGAAAAGGUGUCCCAAAACCUAAAUAAUAAUGAGGAAGGUGGUACUAAAAACUAAUUCCGUGAAGUACAGGUAUUACUAUUUCCUAAUUUUCUGAAUUUGGUUUUUGCAGGUCUGCUGCCAGCUAUGCAAGGAGAAAGGCCACAGUGCUGAACUAUGCCCAUACCUUGAUGUGAGAUGUAAGCAGCCUGGAUGCUCAGGAAGGAUGAUAGUAUUGAUAGGAACCAAUCAAGAUGAAACCAUAGAAAUGAAGCUGCUGAAAUGUGAAGUUGACAAGUGCCCAGAAAAUGAAGUCAUUAAGAUCACCAACUAUCUUCCAAGGUCUGAGUGUCCAGAAUGCAGUACAAGUGCUUAGUGUUUGUGUGUUAAGUACCCAGAAUACAGUCCAAGUGCAGAAGUGUUUGUGUGUGUGAUGAGUGUAGUGUUAAAGUGUGUGUUUAAUCUGAUGUGUAAGAAACAAAACUAUAAAUAAUCUGCAUUCUAUAUGCAUUCAAAAACUGAAAAUAUAUGUUUCAAAGCCAACAACAGUAACCAUAUCAAAAAUCCAUAAUGUAUAUUAGCCAUCAUAAAAUAUGCCAUAAUGUAUCGAAGGCAUUACAAAAUAUACCAAAACCCAAAAUGUAUCUAAGCCUUCACAAAAUAUACCAGAAUUUAUCUAAGCCAUCAAUGAAUAUUUCCAAAAUAAGAAAAAAGACUCACUGAUCCCUCUGAGCACUAUAAGGAUAAAACCAUCCACCCCACCCUCUAUGAGCUGCACCUCCACUCAUAGCUUCACCUCCACUACUACUUGCACCACCUCUCACAUUUGCUGCACCACCUCUCGCAUUUGCUUCACUAGUAGCUGCACCACCUCUGCCAUUUGUUGUUGGAGCAGGAACUUGGGGUGGAGUAGGGACAUAACAUGUAGAUGAACCACCUCCAAGCUUUGGCAUUUUCUUUUUAUGUUGCACAUAAGUCUCACCAUAGUUGUUAGUCUUCUUCUUCUUCUUGUUUUUACUUUUUUUGUAUUCUUUUUCACCUAACUUUUUCCUCUGAAGGCAUGUCCUAGAGUUAUGAUUAGGUUCUCCACAUAGUUUACACCUCCUGUUUGAUGAAGGUUGCUCUUCAUCCUCACCCCUUAUCCUAAGAGUUUUAGGCCUACCCGGCGCUGCGGUAUAAGGAGGAGGCAGCACCAACUCAUGAUUCCCAACCUAUAUACAGAGUUUACACUAGUAUUAAUCAAAGGGAAUCAAUGAGCAACUAAUGCAAUAAAAAUAUUUAAAACAAAUACCAACCUUAUCCCAAUCUUCCUCAUUGUCAAUUGGAAAAAUAAAUCCUGCAUAAGUAGCUCUGAACUUCUCAACAUUGUAGAAUGGGCUGCAAUAUCUAUACAUAAUUAACAUGUAUUAGGAUUACCUAUCGUAAAACAAAGAAAUCAGUAGGAACAAAAUAAAGUUAAAAUUUGUGCCUUAUACUUACUUUAACCAUGGCUCUCUCCUUGGUCUAAUCACUGCAACUGCAUGCACACAUGGUAAUCCAGUUAUCUCCCAAACCAUACAUGUGCAUGUGUGAGCCACUAGGUCCACAGUGAACCUCUUCUUAGAGACAUUGUUUUGUGCAUAAAAAGUAUGGUUUGCAACUCCUCCAACAGUAUACCUGUGAUAUUUUCUUUGCAACUGUUGUAUAACAUACAUGGCAGUUGGAACCAACCCUUCCACAUCCAUUUCUCUAGAUUGCAUCCUCCUCUCAUAACAUGAUCCAAUUAAAGACAUAAUGUAAGAGUCAACAAAUCUAACAAUUGGUUUAUCCCUAAUCCCCAAAAUUGCAUUAUUGAAAGAUUCACUGAAGUUGUUUGUUACUGCAUCACAUUUCGAUGUUCUAUCAAACCAAGCUCUAGCCCAUAAAUGCUUAGGUUCUUCCGAUAACCAUUCAGCUGCAUCCUUGGCAUCUUUUUCCAUGAUGCCUAACAAUCUUUGAAAUUCUGUCUUGUUAUAGGCCUUUGCAGCACCCCAUGACAGUUUCUCCAAGUGGUCACCCUUGAACUUGGCAUUUUUAAAAUUUUUGUACAUGUGUCUAAAGCAAUACCUAAUAAAUAUAUAUGGAUUGACAUUAAAUAACAGUAAACUAAUCUAGAUAACAAAAUAUAAGUAUUAUUACCAAAAUAACAUAUCAUUUACCUGUGAUUUGCAUCUGGGUAAACUUCUGCAACAGCUGGAAUAAGGCCUUUCUGCCUAUCAGAAAUAAAGGUGAUCCUCUCUUUGUGCUUGGGCAUGUAUUGUGCAAGAUGAGCAAGUAACAUCCCCCAUGUUUCCUUAUUUUCACCUCUGCAUAUAUAAAUGGCUAAAGGGAACAAACCAUUCAUAGCAUCCAUUCCCAUUGCACUUAAAAUACAACCCCCAUACUUCCCUUUGAGAAAUGUGCCAUCAAGACCAAUUAUAGGUCUACAUCCAUUAGCCCAUCCAUCAAAUGAUGCUUUAAAAGCAAUGAAAAAACCUUCAAAUUCUGCAGUGUUUUCAUCUCUAUACCAAUUACAAAUAGCAUUUGGGUUCCUCUUCAGAAUUUGUCUUUUCAGCUCAGGUACCAAAGCAUAUGACUCCUCAUAGUUUCCAUUCACAAUUUCAAGCAUCCUCAUCCUAGAAUACCAUGCAGUCCAAUAACUAAUUGUAAUACCAAACCUUUCUCUUAUAGAAUCUUUUAUUUUUUUAGGUUUGUAGUCUAGAUGUGCUCUAAAUAUAUCCAAGGUUUUACCAAUCACCCAAGGAGCUGUACAAUGUUUAUUUUUGUCAUUCCAUGCCGUUGAACAUGUAUGAACAUCAUUAUAUUUCCUCAGCUGCACUGUGUGUCCAUCAACCUUGAUGGUGGCCUUUAUUUUCCAUGGACAAUUUUCAUCAGCACACUUCAAUUCAUAUCUUCCAGAAUCAUUCUUCUCUUGUCUGAAAUGAAAUUUUUUAAUAAUUGCAUAUGUCUUGAACCAAUCUCUUGCUUCCUUCAUUGUUCUCCACUUCAUAUUUGGAACUAACUCUGGAUCUGCAUCCACUACUGGGUCUCCAACUCUUUCAUUUUCUUCUUCUUCAAAAAUAUUCUGUGUACACCUUUUGAAUUCCCUCACCUCAUUGGGUUCUUCUUCAUAUACAAUAUUAUCAGAAACUAAUCCAAACUUUGCUAACUGAAAUGCUUCAUAUGCAGGUUCUUCAUUAAUCUCAAGUCUUGCAUCAUUAUCACUGUCAAAACCUUCAUUCUCAACUACAUCUGGUAUAAAGUCAUCAUCUUCAUCAUUAUCUUCACCAUGGUAAUCCCCAUCAUCAUCUGAAAUGUAAUCAUGCUCAACACUCUGCUUUACACAAGCACCAAAUGAUUGACUAUAUUGAAAACUAUCACAGACAGCUUCAUGGUCACUUUCUCCUUCCUUUUCUAUAACCACAUCUUCAUAUUGAUCAAGAACUUCAGCUAGAACAUUCUGAUCAUCAAAUGCAUGUCCACUUUCAAGUAUAUCAGCCCAAUCACUUAACACUUCAUCAACUUGAGAGGGCAACACCUUUUGACUGCCAUAAGGGGCUAUCACAUCUUGGCUAGCUGCAGGGGGUAUAGUAGCUUGGCUGGUUGUAGGGGGUAUAAUAUUUUGACUGGGAAUUAGAAUGACAUCUUGACUAAGAAUUUCAACUUCACCAUCUUGAGCAAGGAUUCUGUUUGACCACCUUUGAACAUUAGAUUCAGUAGGGGUAUGAGUGGUCUUAGCUUUUUUGGCAGGGGCUUUGGCUUUUUUUUUUGAGGUUUUAGCUUCACAGUAUACAAAAAUAUGGUGUCUCUUAUCACAUUCAGGUUUCAAAUGCUCCCACAUCAUCAUUAGUUUAUCAUCUUUAUCAAUAAUCACACAACUACCAUCAAUGAUACAAGCAAGCUGAAUUUUUGGGGGUUUAGGAUUAUCACCUUCUCCCAUCAAGUAUAGAAUUUCCUUUUCAACGUCCAUAAUCAUCAGGUCAUCUCCUUGCAACAAUAUAUUUCUUUUUCUCCCCCCUUUGUAGUCAUUCAUACUAGUGUCACCGUCAACUAUACCAAUUUCCCAUUCACCACCAAAGUGUAUUUGAAACUUCUUCUCACCAAGAGGAUUGUUUGUCAUUUCUAGUAAGUCACUGCCAUAAAACACAACCAUUUCAAUUCAAUACAAAAUCCAACAUAAUACACAUAAUGCAUACAAAAUGCAAACACAGAAUACAAAAACCACCAACUUUUAAUCAAUUAAUUACAAUUAAGUAAAAUUAAUACUAGUACUUGGUCACCUAGGUGAAGUGCAAAAUUAAUACUAGUACAAGGUAUCUAGCAAAAUAUAUACAAUAAACUAAGAAUACAAAGAUAAGUACUCCCUAUUUGAAAGUGCUAAUUAAAUUAACAUAAAUUGUUGUGCAUUGCAAAGUAAAAUCCCCAAUUUUGGCAUUAUAAGAAGGCCCUAGCAGUGUCUAUGUAUGGUUGAAGUACAAUUAAUUAGGGUUGCUACCAAAAUCCCCAAUUUUAACUAGUUAAUUAUAAUUAUGUACGAUUAAUUAGUGUUUACUGCAAAAUCCCCAAUUUUAACUAGUUAAGUACGACUAAUUAGGGUUUACUGCAAAAUCCCUAAUUUUUUAUUCAUGACUAAACCUAAUUACAAGUAAUUCAACAGAAAAUUAAGUUAUAAAACCAUUUAAAUAACAUAAAUCAACAAAAUUGAUGUAACCUAAUGAUUUAAAAGUAUACACAGUUAACAUCCCAAGUUAAAAUCGAAUAAGUUAGGGAUUUUGGGACCACAAAACAGUAUAAAAUUAGGGAUUCAAUGUUUGGUGGUCCCAUAGGGAAGAAGAAGAAGAAUUAAUAAGAAGGGGUUUUGCAUGAAAAAACCUACCUUUUGAAAUUCAAAGCUCCAACCUUUCAAGUUUGUGGCAAGCUUUAGCUUUUUUGUCAAGCUUCAAUCUUUCUAUAUACUUUCAAUAUUCAUGUUUAGAUUUUGGGUUUCAAAAAUGAAAAUGGUUUAGAUAUGGAAAUGGUGAGAGAGAUAGAGAUUGUUGAGUGAGUGAAGAAGUUUUGUUAAUGGUUUCUCGAAGUUCGAAGUGGUGGUGAGAGAGAGAGUAUUCUGGAUAAGUGUAAAUAUUUUUUUAGAGUUAGAUCCAUGAAUUAUUGCGCCAACAUUUCCCGCUAGUAUAGCUAUUACACGUGGAUAAUUCUUAGGCGUUAGAUUCGAUCAAAACAUAUUAAAUUUAAUCAAUGGUUGCAUUCAUAUCCACGUGUUUUUGUUUCUCUCUGUAUUCAUUCUCACGUGGUUUACACGUGUAAGGGUAGUUUUGCUAUUUUUAACAAUUAAACUAGUCAAACCAGUCAACAAACAGUCAAAUUAGUCAACAGACAGAAGGGUGCCCCAAAACCUAAUUACAUCAUUAAGUGAGACUAAGACCAAAUACCCCUAUUAUUAGGUGUCCCAAAGUCUAAAUACCCCUUGAUAAAAUGCCCUAACUCGAAUUUCUUUCACUUCAACAAUUUUAACUUCAAUAAGUUUACCAGUAAUCUUUUUUGAAUAAGUAGCUAAAUAUAUAUCCGGUGGAAGUAGUGAUUUACAUUGAAAUCACCAGAUAAUUACUACGUUUGUACAACUUUUCCAUCUAUUAUACUCUAUUAAAGCUGAAAAUACCCUUAAAAAAAUAUCUCUUCAAUUAGAUUGAAAUUAAUAGCUUAAUUGAAGAAAAUUUUGAUUGAGUUUGGAUAUAUUUGUAAUUACGCAAAAGUGGACCACCAUCACAGAUAUAAUCAAGCACAAUAAAAAAAAUUAAAAGUAUACCCAAUCCCAAGUAUAAUCAAGCCCAACCCGUACACAGUUGGACCAAAUCACAAGCAUAAUUAAACCCAGUAAAAAAAAUUAAAAGUAUACUCAAUCCCAAGUAUAAUCAAGUCCAGCCCGUACAAAAAAUACAGUAAAACCUCGAUAAAUUAAUAGCCUUGGAACUAGAGAAAAUUAUUAAUUAAAUGAGAUAUCAAUUCAUCUAUUAAUUAAUAAAUUAUUAAUUUACAUAAUUAACAGUAUAUCUUUUUUUUUUUUUAAAGGGGGGAGGGCUAACAUGAUGAAUCUGGACAAUCGUUUUAUUCUAAAACCCGUUCCACGAAAAGAAGCACUAAAAUCGAUAAUGAUAUUGGAAUAGUUUCUUCAUGCAAUACAAACUACAACACCAGAUUAACUUAUCACACUACAAAAAUUCAGAGACGAGGAUCAAACCAAAAUCAAUUUUGAAAAAAAACAAGCAACAAUUGACUUUUAUUAUAAAAAAAAAUAUAAAAUAUAUUUAUAUAUUGAAAAAAUAUUAAUUUAUAUAUUAGUUGGGCAUUCAAGGAUUUUUCUAAAAUGUAUUAUCUAAUAAAUUUAGCGAAAUAUUAAUUUAUUAACAUAUGUCCAAGUUGGGACCAGCCAAAAAUAUUAUUUAAAGGAGAUAAUUAAUUUAUCGGGUAUUAUCUUAUCGAGGUUUUACUGUAUCUCUUCAAUUAGGCUGAAAUUGAUAACUUAAUCGAAGAGAAAUUCAAAACUCACCAAGAUUUACAUUGAAAUCACCAAAUGAUUUAUUACGUUUAUACAACUUCUCCAUCUUCCUCUUCACUCAAAGUCUAUGUCUGCUUAUAUGCUUAUAUUUGAUCCAUGUAUAUUUGAUGUUUGCUGAAGAUCUCUCGACGACACAGAAAUCAAAACUCACCAGUAUUCUAAGUCAAAUGGGCAGCUAUGCAAGUUUAUUAAUAAGAUCAUUAAUAAUAUUAAUAUGAUAUUAUUGUGGACACAUGUCAACACAUGUUUGUAAUGGUCAUUUUCAAGUACAUUCUCAAUUUGACAAAAAAUAUAUUUUGCAGGAAUAUGGAGAACCAGUAAUCUAUUUCUUUUCCUUGCACUUAGUAGGCAUUGACAAAAAGUAAAUAAAAAUAGAAAAUAAACUCCAAUAAAAAUGAUGAUAUAAUCUUCAAUACAUUUCAAUGGUGGGGAUACGAAAAGGGACCCAAGUAGCAGUAAGACUUAUUUACUGCAAUUUCAUGAAAUUUGAGUUUCCCUUAAUUUGUGAUCUAAUGUACGUAAAUGUGUUACAGAUGGGACUAUAUCAAAAAAUGUCGUAAGAUUCACACAGACAUGGAUUGUAUGGUUGCCUUCCGGAAAUGCUUAACUACAUGGGCCUAACGGGAUCUCUCCGUCACAUUACAAGUAAGUCAUCUUUAUCAUCAUAAUAGUUUGUUAAAUAUUUCAAAUUUUCAUGAUGUUAACUGUUACAAGCUAAUUAAGAGACGCUCGACUGCUAAUGGACUACUGUGAAAAGAUUGUUUCCCAAAGUGAUGAAGCCUCAACAACCGAACCAGACUAAAUUCUAAUUGAGACUUCGAGACUUGAGAGUACUGCAAAAUCCCAUUCGCCUAGAUAUCUUCAAAUGUUUUGGGUUUAAUUUUCAUGUAUAUAUAAUAAUCAUUUAAUUUCAAUACUCAAAGAUUUAUAAUAAUUCUAAAUGAAAUCAUACCAGAUCAUAGACUUUUGAAACGGGCUAAACAAAAUAUUACUAGUUACAUAAAACCCCCCCAAAAAACUCUAAAACAAUCAGAUAUGCCCGUGCAUUACACGGGCCUAAGGACUAGUUGGUUUACUAUGCAUACAAAAUAGUGCUUUUCAUGUAGUUUGUCGAUACGCCUGACAGUACAUGAAAUUGCUCUAGAUUCUGCUUGGUGUCUGAAAACUGAUGGUUGGAAUGAUGAUUUUAGUACAUCUGAGACUAUUACGCAUCUCAUAGAAAAAUCGAAUUAAAAAUAGAUCUUUUGGAUAACCCAACGUAUCUAGAUUGUGUGACAUAUUUCAUUUGGUAUAAUAGAAAUCAUACAUACUUUUUUUCAGCAUACUAAAUUUCUAGUAAUCCUUUUAUAUCAGCCAUAAAUUAGCAGCAUCUAUUUUAUCUUUAUCAAAGACAAUAUGUCAAACAAAAUUUGCUGAUUUUACUUACAGAUGGUUCCUGGUUCCUGGUUCCUUGUCAUAGCAUAGAUCUGAACAUCAUAGAAGUGGGCAUCCUAUUCAUUGGUUUUAUUUGUCCUAAUAGAAAAUUUUGGCAGGAUACUUUUGUAGAAAAAAGAACAACCCUGAAGAAGCCGAAGCAUUUGGCAACCAAAAAGCACUAUAUAGAUUAUUAUCUUCUUCUUUCUUUUCUUUUUCCCCUUUUUUUCUAAAAAAUAAAAAAUAAACAAAAUUACAUGAGCCUACCUUUUGACACAAACAAGCCUGCCUACCUCCUACCCUCCCAUCUUUCAAAUUGAGCAGAUGUUAAUAUCUCUACUAGAUUUAAGCCUCCGGAAGGAUUUGUUAAACUGAAUUCAGAUGGAGCAGUGACUAAAACCAGAAAUGGAUAUGGAGGAGUUAUUAGAGAUAGCCAAGGUAAUGUGAUCUUAGCAUAUGGAGGAUCUGAUAAAGAAAAAUCAGUCAUUGUACAGGAACUAAAAGCUGUACUAGUGGGACUAAAAGGCUGCAGAAUAGUUUAACAGAGAAAAUUGUUGGUUGCUGCAGAUUCACUACACGCCAUAUACAUGCUGCAGGGAAAAUUAGAGCCGCCGUGGUUUUGCCAGAACCUGGUGGGAGAGAUCAAGCAUCACCAGAGUAAAUUGGAUAUAGUUUUGUAUAAACAUGUGUACAGAGAGAGCAAUAGAGUAGCAGAUUAUCUGGCAGGGUUAGAUUUUGUUGUAGGGGAAAGCUUUUUUAUUUCUCCAAUCUGUAGACAUAUGUGUCUGCUUGUAACAGAAGAUGCACAAGGAAAAAUCUUUUUGAAGUAUUAAUACAGGUGAGGGUCUGCCUAACCCUAUUAUUUUGUCAAAAAAAAAAAAAUAUCUCUACUAGAUUGUUUGAGCACGAAAUAAUUGAAAAAAUAUAUGAUAUUAGUGACUUGAAUAAAGUGUGCAACAUAUUUAAAAAAAAAAAAUAUAAUUAGAUUAAAAAGAAUUGAAAAUUUAAUAAGUAACACUUUUUCUACAGUGUAUCAAAUUCAAAACAAUAUAUAUAGAUAAAGUCAUAAUAAAACAAAUACUAGAGCCGGAGGAAACAAAAAAGAACAAAUCUUUUGAGUGUAAACUGUGCUUUUAGGCUGUCUCUGCUUUCUUUGCGUUGUUGUUGUUGUUGUUGUUGUAAUGAAGGAGAAGAUAUUGAAUGGCCAAAUAUAGAAAAAGAAGACCACAGUAUGCUAACGCUGAAAUUACGAUUUGAUUCGUAAUUGUACCCGACAAAUCCGGCUCCGUGUUAAAUGUCAGAGUCUUCAGAGAAAAACACUUCUUAAAUAUCAGACUCACCAGCAACAAACUAUUCAAAAACGAUAAAUUAAAGAUAACGACACUUAAGAUCUCAAGGAAAUAUCGAUAAUAAUCCAUCCUCUUACAAAAUUGACUUCUUUCACCCAUAACAAGAAUUGAUAGAAAAGAAGAAAGCCAAAGAUCGAGAAACAACUUUGUAUAUCUUAGCUGAUAGAUAGAUAAUACUGAACCCUUAGCGACCAGGUUAUUAUAUAGACAGACAAUUAAUAUAAGACCACUAAGCUUCUACUUGAUUCGGAAUUCGGAUACAAUUCCCACUAGAAGCUAGACUUCUACUUUGUACAAAGUUGCAAGUGUUUGGAGUUUGGGUUACAAACUUCGUCACAGCCCAAUAUAUAGGGCUUUGGCCCAUACUACCGAACCGACCCGCUUCUUAUUAUAAAAUCCAAUUUCCAAAUCCAUUAUGAAUCUAUCUCCUCUUUCUCUCUCCUUCGUCUCCGAAUCUUCUCUCUCUUCUAGUCUAGGGUUUGAGGUUUUGUUAUCGCAGAAGCAAAUUGGAUUGCUGUGAAGGAGAACUUAAACCCUAGAUUAGUUUCACAACUUCAAUUGAUUCUAAUUCCAAAACCUUAUUACCUCUAACAAUCUCUCUCUUUCGAAGAUGUCGUCGACAUUGUUAGAAGUAACAAGAGCUUCUCAUGAAGAAAUCGAGCGAUUUGAAAGACUCAUAGUGAAAGAUCUUCAAAAAGAACCUUCUACAAGUCGUGAACGACUUUCUCAGAAUCAUCGUGUUCGUACUAUGAUCGAUACCAUCACUUCCACCACUCAGAAACUUGUAUGUUUUUUUAUUCAUUUUCUUUGAUUUUAUUGUUUUUGUAGAUGAAAUUGUUUAGAUUUUGAUUUUGGUAGUAGUAAUGGUGAUUUUUUGUUUUUUGUUAGGUUGAGAUAUAUGAAGACAAUGAUAAUGCUAGAAAAGAUGAAAUUGCAGCUCUUGGAGGACAGACUGAGAAAGGAACUAAUGUGUUUAACGCCUUUUAUGAUCGAUUGAAAGAGGUGAUUUGUUUGCUAAUUUCUAUUUUCUAUUGUAGUCACUAGUUAUGAUUUGGUUUCAGCGAUAUUUAGCAGUGUUUACAGAAGAUAUCUAUACUAAAAACAAAGACACAGAUAUAUUGUAUGUUACUUGCAUUUAGUUUUUAUCAAAAGAACUUAAAUGAAGGAAUACUCAUAAAUAAAUAAAAAAAAAAGAAUAACUAAACUUGAGUUAACUUGGUAAAGAAGAAUCCAGAGAGUGCAUUCACCUUCACUAAGUAUAUCAUGAUGGUGAUGUCUCCUUUCUUGGUAUUUAUACUAUGUGGUUGGCAGAAAAUUUUCACAAUUAAAGUUCAAUGGGAACACAAAGAGUGUUUCAGUGAUUUUUGUUUAUGAUCGCGAGUUUAUGAUUGCUAAUUAAUUUUAAUACUACUAUCUAAGUAAAUUUAAAACUUAUGUUACUUGCUUUUAUGCGUCAAACUUAAAAGCCUUAUAUUUAAAACUUAUGUUACUUGAUAUGGAGUUUGGAUUGUUAUUUGAAGUCGUGUGAGAGGAAUGAUGUAACUGUUAGUUGCAUAUCUACUAACCUAAACAAUGGUAUACAUCAUGUAAUAUAAUAAUGCGAUCAUGCAUUAUUACAUUUCUGGUUAUCCUGUGGGAGUCACUGUGUCACACGAGCACUCAUUUCUUUCUUUUGCUUUUCUAAUACAAUUUCUUCCCUUAAAACCAGGGUAUUAGUUUGUGUUGUUUUAUUCAUCUUUAUUCCUAACUCAUGCAUUAUCUAUUGCAGAUUCGUGAAUAUCAUAGACGACAUCCAAAUGCCCGUGUUAUUGACGCAAGUGAGGAGUAUGAGGAGUUACUUAAAGAAGAACCACAUAUUGGGUUCAGUGGUGAGGUAUGUAUCUCUGUCUCUUCCGGUCUUUGUUUUUAUUUCUGCUCCUUAUCUCCUCACAUUUUGUGUAGUUAAACUAAACGGAAACCUGUUGGGUUACAUUAGUUGCAUACGUCAUUGUGCCAUCCACGUCUGUUUUUGAUUUCUACGGCUAUAUACCUUUAGGCCAAGGAACUUAUUUUCACAUGCGAUUAUUGUUCCUUUUCUCUGAAUAUUUCACCUUUAUUUUGUCUGAGUUUCUUAUCAGUUGUUUUUGUUUACUUCAGGAAGGCCAUGGAAAGUACUUGGACAUGCAUGAAUUAUACAAUGAGUACAUCAAUUCUAAAUUUGGAAAGCACAUUGAGUACUCUGUAUACCUGGAUGUUUUUUCACAGCCCAAUCACGUACCUCGUAAUCUGAAGCUGACAAGGUAAAUUGCAACAUGUGGAAUAUUAAUGCCGUUUUCUUCGAAGAAUUACCUGUCUUCUUUUAUGUCAAUUUCUCCAUCCAAGUAUAGCCUUUAACCUAAAUGAAGGUUUUUUAUAUUGUAAUAUCUGAAUUUCGGAAAUUGAUGGUUUGCAGGACAUAUAGGGAGUAUUUGGAGCAUCUUUUGGAUUAUCGCGAAUAGAGCCUUUGCAAGACCUCGACAGAAUUUUUUCAAAGGUAUAAAGCAUUUUAUUUUACUUGUUUUAGAGGGUGAAGUAUGCAGUAUCACAAUUGUGUGUGAGGUUAUAUAUCAACUUAUCUAAUGUUUAGCAUUGCCAUUUAUUUCAAGUGGAAACAAUGAUGUUAAAGUAUUGAGCUCAUUUACUGACGAUUUUUACUGAAAAUAGAAAGGAAAAAUGUUCAAAGAGAAAUAAAGAAUAACGAAAAGAAAAAAAUUAUGAUAGUAAUGGCCAUGUUACCUGUUUUUCAAAUUAUACUGACAAUAAAAGUAUUAGAAAUUUUGAUUGAAAAUAAGGUAUCUGCUGCAUGUUGCUUAUCUCAUUUCUGCUUUUCAGGAUUUGCAGAUAAAACACAUUUUACACAUGCAAAUGUCUACAUUGGAUCUGUAUCAAAUAUAUUAAAAUCUAUUUUGAGUCCAGAAUACUAUUCUUUUACCUAGUCAAGUCUCACCUACUUCCCUGUUAUCCCUGAUUCAUAUGUCACACUUAUGUGCUAUGCAACACAGGCUUACUGAAAACCCAAGCUUAUUUAAAAAAUAGCCAUCUUCAAAUGAUAUUUUGUUUCAGCUGUAACUCAAUUUCAAGUAUGAAAUUUAUAAAACUUUAUUUUGCUUUUGCAGGUCGAAACUGAAUUUGAAGAGCUCUGGGCUGAUGGCAAGAUAGAAGGAUGGGAAAAUAAACUUCUCGAAAAUGGACAUAUUCCAUCAAAUGAUUCUGUAGUUGACCUUGAUUAUUACAGCACAGUGGAAGAGUUAAUGGAAGUGGGCCCCGAGAAAUUAAAGGAGGUGAGAUUCCUCCUUACUUGUCAUUCUAAAACUUUGAACACUUCUGAAACCUAUUUCGGGAAGUUUUAUCUGUUAAGUUUUUAAUCAUCUAUAGUCUAUAUUGGUUUUGUAUCAAUAUAAAAAAGAGAUAAAAUGCUCAUAUAUUUUUAUUUGAGGUCUUUUUGUUGUUUCCUUGUAGUGGCUUUAGUUUCAGUAUCCAUUUUUUUUUUUAUAUCUCUUUGGGAUUGUGUUUUAGUGCAAUCAAGAGCUUGGGAAAAUUUUGGUCCUUUUUUAGUGGUUGUUUUUGUUUGUCCGACAGGGUGAACCAUGGAGGGGAGUAAAUGCGCCAUGAAAGUGGCUGCUGAGGCCUAGUGGUAAGAAGCAACCAGUGGAAAACACAUUUUGCUAUUCUCCAUGAAUGAGGAAGGCACAAGCCUUUAAAGCUGUUGUCCUUGGAUCUAACCCUCCCACUUGUUUGGGACACUAAUUAUUUUACUCAUUUCAUCCCUUAAACCCACAUGAUGUUGUCAUCUUUUAAAAAGAGUUUCGUAUAGCAUUGAAGAAGUUCGUUUAUAUGAUUUCCUGUAGAAGUAGCUUUUAUCAAGCUUUUCUGUUAUGGGAAAAAAAUUAAUAGAGAAUUGUUAAGGUUGUCCACUGAAAGUGAUUAUUUUGCACCUGUGUAUGUGAAGGAGAUCAUACCUUCUCUUUCAAUACUCAAUAUUAUUAGUUUGCGAUCUAAAUCGACCUAGCACUUUUUACAUCUUUUUUGCUAUGCACACAACAGACUAUUCUAAUAAAAAAAAGUUGGGAGUGCAGGGGUUGGCUGCUUUAGGGUUAAAAACUGGUGGGACGGUGAAGCAGCGAGCAGAGAGGCUAUUCCUUACGAAGGUAAUUUAUCUAAAUAUAUAAUUGCAAGUUUAUACAGUGGUUCGUUACUUAUGAAUGGAAUAUUGUCUGCAUAUAAAAUUAAAUCUUAGUGGAAUAUAAUCGCUAUCUGUUGUAGUUUUGUGUAUGUGGUUUAUCUUUAUGCCCUUCUAUGAUAUUAUAAUUUAAGUUUAUUGAAUGUACACUAGUUCCUACAUCUUUGCAUUUAAUUGUUUGUGACAGUUCAGAUGAAGCUCAUAGUUUAUAUAUUUUUAGAUUAUAUGGUUCGUUCAGAAAAAUGUAACACUAAAAUCUGUCCUCACAUAUACUUUCGUCAUUCUAAAGAUACUGCUUAAUAUCUUGGAAAGUUUAUGAAGUUGAUGAAGAUUUUUACAAAUUAAAAAAAACCUAAAAAGGAAAUAUUGGGAGUUGCGAAUUUGAGUAAGCACAAGUUUUGAUGUAAUUAUAAAAAUUGGAGCAUACCAAGUUGAAAAUAUGUUCAGAAAAAGUUUCUAAGCAUGAAGCUAUGAAGACAGUUGACACUUAAGUUGUAUUCAAGUGUGAGACACACCCUUGACUUUUCUAGAACUAACCUUCAUAAUGAAUUCACUCCACAUACAUAAUCAUUUUAUAUAGCUAAAGAUGAGCUUUUUGAACUAUCAUCUCAUGGGGUAGAAGUUCAUUGUGGUGGGCAUUCACCCAUAACAUUUGUCCGAGCAGGUUUGCCACAAGCCCACAAAAGAAUAAGAAAAUUCACGUAAGAUUAUUAUUUGAUGGUUAAACUUCCUGGAAUUUAAUCAUUCUAAAUGUCAGCUUCAGCUGUCUAGUCGAAGAAAAGUUCUUUGACACCAUUGAUAAUCUGAUGUAAGUCUCUUCCUUAUACUUGAAUAUCUUCCUGUAUUUACCCCUCCACAAAGUCCACAGUAUUGUCAAUCGAUUUAUAACUAUAUUAGUAUGUUAGUCACCUCAUUCCAAUGAUUCUCUUCCUAUUAUUUAAUUUGUCAUUUCUCCUGUUAUAUACAACUUUAACGUCAUUUGUUUUGCUUUUGCUUACUCUUGGGAGGAUGUUCUGAGUGGCCCUUGAUGUGGAGUUUCAUUGUAGCUUUUAGUUUUAGUUUUUUUUUUCUUCCUUGUUUUGCUUUUAUUUCCUUGACCAGGGUUAUCUCAUCCCUUGGCUUUGUUGUAAUUAAUUAUUUGAUAUGAAUAUAUUAUGCUCGUUUACCUUUCUCUCUCUCUCAAUAAAAAGAAGAAAAAAAGGACUGGAAAUGAAGGAAAAAAUUAAUAAAUUAUAGUUUGAAUCUAGUGAUGAGAUUUGGUCUUGAUUAAUAGUCCCUGAAUAGAUGAUGGUUUUUUAGGUUUUCUGACGGAAACAAAAUGAGCUGGAUAAAAAACAUUUUGCCAAAGGCUCACGUGAUGUAGGACUAAAUGGUGCUUCUGACGCGUCACAACAGACUGAUGAUGUGAGACAAAUCGCCCUGAUGGAAACAAAACUAAAGCGAAUUUGUGAAUUGCUAAGCGAGGUUGGUUUCUUUGUAUUUUGUCUCAAACUCAUUAUUUGUUGUACACUUACAUACACACUAUCAUAAUUGAUGUUAUAUUUAUUUUCUGAGUUUUGCAGACCAUAUUGCAAACCAAAGAAAAUGUUGAGAAGAAACAGGCUCUUACAUACGAGGAAAUGGAACUUGAACGCGAAGAGGUGAUGUUGCUUCUUAUUUUUAAUAAGUUGUAAUUAUGUAUAUUAAACGUAAGAAGUUUGAAUAUUUAUGAUGGGGUAAUGAUCCGAAAAUCUUGACCAUCUAGUGGUUAGUGUGAUUAUAAAGACCAUGUCUUUUCAGUCUUCUAUAUCGUCUGUUGAUGUUGUUUGUGCAUGUAAAUGAGCCCAUUUUCUUGCAAAUUGUUUUGCUAGUGUUAAGUAUUCUUUAGCCAUUGGCUAUACUUUGACUAGUCAAUUCAUACAUGCAUACAUUCUAAUGGAGGCAUUUUUUACUGGUGAAUAUAACUUAUAUUACUAUUUUCAAAUUAGCAGGAAGAGGUACAAGCUGAUACUGAAAGUGAUGAUGAGGAACAACAGAUCUACAAUCCUCUUAAGUUGCCAAUGGGCUGGGAUGGGAAGCCCAUUCCAUACUGGUUAUACAAGCUUCAUGGACUUGGCCAGGUUCUAUAUGAAUAACUGGUCCUUUUUAGCUUUUAGUUUAAUAUUUACUGUUCCACAUGCCAAUUUAAAAUUUUAUCUCAUAAUUGUACUUCACAACUCAUGAGUUUUACUAGCUUAUGUUUUACCUCAUUGAUUAGUGUGGCCUUUGUGUAUAUGUUAUAGCUUAUUUAUAUUAUCUUUAUCUGUUUAUUUCUUAGCAUCUUGUCAAUUAACUUUCUGCUUUACAGUUUACACUGAUGCGAUGCAUGUGUGCAAGCACGUGUUCUAGCAUUUGCUCACCUACCUAUCACUGAAUAUUACAUUUAGUUUCCACAAAUAAUCUUAAAACCUGACCUCCACAACAUGGGCACACCCUGAGCUAAUUGGCCUUUGCCUCAGCAAUUUGUUUAUUUUCAAAGACAACUUCAGUAAAGUUCUUUUCUUGAAGUGUUUUUUGGGGUUGGUUGGGGGUGGGAGUUUUUCUUAAAGAUAUUUUUUGGGGAGUCUUUUGUAACAAUAUAUCUCUGUUGAAUCUUUGUCUUCCCUUUAUUUUUAAUCUCAAGUUUAACUUACUGACGUACCAAUUUUUUUUUUCCACAAAAGAAAUAUAUUUAUGUGGAUAUAACAGUCUGCACAUGCACAUAUAUUCCACACCUGCAUAGUUUGACUUAUGACUUAUCUUUGAUACACUUUAGACUGAGAUCUGUCUCUUGUGCCUCAGGAAUUCAAGUGUGAGAUAUGUGGGAACCACAGUUACUGGGGUCGCAGAGCUUUUGAACGACACUUUAAGGAGUGGCGCCAUCAGCAUGGAAUGCGUUGUCUUGGUAUUCCUAAUACUAAGAAUUUCAACGAAAUUACUUCGAUUGAGGUAUGUUUUUAUUUAAGCUUCUUGAUAUGAAUGCCUUUGGAUUAUCUUAAACAUCACAUUUGGCAAUUAUGCAGGAAGCCAAGGCCCUCUGGGGAAGAAUACAAGAACGCCAAGGAGUGCAUGCUUCACAUUUCCAGCUGUAAAAUUCCCUAAGGUAACCCACCUGUCUGUUGGGCAAGGCAUACUCCCAAGAAGCUCACAAUCCUUUAAGUUGGAUGGUGUUCAAAGUUUGCUAUCUCAAUGGUAUCCACUAAAGUUUCCUCCGACAGUUCAAUAAUAACAUAUUUCUCUUCAGGUGAACAAGUAUUUCCAAGGUACUUAUCUUUAUCAUUGCCUAAUACACUAGAGGCACCCUUUGCUUCUUUGUUAAAAGCUAAAACUUUUGCUCUCUUUGAGGUGGAUGCAUAGUUAUGCUCUGCUCCACCAGUUUCCAAUCUGUGUGUGAUACUUCCAGCACAGCCUUUACAGGCUUCCGUUUAGGGCUGCUCGCUCGGCUCUUGAAAGCAUCGAGACCAAAUGGUGCGGCAUGAGACAACCUCACUUUUUAGAUUUUCCUUAUCUAGUUUUGCCGAUGAUGCAGAUAUUUCUACCUUGGCUUUGUCUUCGACAGGAGGCGCCUUACAUUCAUUUUCUACACUGAAAGAUGAUUCAGUGCUGCAAAACUCUCUUUGAGGUUGUAGCCACACUACUAAGAUUAGAUAUUAUAACACUCUUACCAAAAUCUGAAAUUUUAACUCCAGCGUCAGAUCCAUUUUUCAGUCUCAGGCUCUCAGCUCAGCUUCAUACCAAGAUGUUUUGUUAACUGGAAGUCCAGAUCAAUCUAUAUACCAUUGCAGUACAAAGACCAACCAAUAAAUGGAAAAAGUGUAUGCAUCUAACAAUUAAAAACAUAUAAGAAACAGAGGAUCAAUCCUGUUCAAUUAAGUUCUAAAAUCUAAAUUGGUUUCAUAGUCAAAAGUCUUGCCAAAUUUUGCAACUCACCACAAUAUUAAACAAAAAGAAAACACACAGAACCCAGAGGCAACUUUAUGUCACCAUUGCAAUAAUUUCAAAUCAAUGCUAUUUAGUCAGUUUCUGCAAUCCCAUCGCUUCAAAAACGCGGGGUUCAAUUCAUACAAAUCAACAAUUGGGAACCGGAUCAUAUGGAAAUGAAAAUCUAGAACAAGUAUAACUUGGUGUUGUUUUACCUGUGUAGUUGUCUCCACAACUGGUCCAUAAGUUGAGCAGAAAUACAAUCCCCCACAAAACAAUAACCAGAGACAGAGUAACAUAAUACAAUCGAUGUUUCUUUCCACUGAUGGCAUUCUCCAAAGCUCUUCUCUACGUGAUCUCUGCAUCAUCAAUCCAAUUCGAUCCACCCUCCCAAACUGCGGAUCUUCACAAAAAAUCCCAAUUCAGUACUUGAAUAUAAAUCAAUGAAUCAACACAAAAAGAAUCUUGAAGAGAUCCCUAUAAAAUUUCUUUCUUGGGUUUGAUUUUGAAGGAAAAAGAGGUAGUCAGCCAAAUAUAUUGGCUGUGCUUGAUUGCCCGGAAAAAAAAAGGAAACUGUAUUUUGCAAAGUUUUUCUGAUUUACAUAGUGCUUGGUGUGGCAAUAUUUGUGGUCCCUACCGUAAAAUCUUAUACAAAACCGUAAACCACGUCAGCAAUUAUUCCAACUUUGAGAACAGCGGAAUCUUGUGGAAACUUGUGGUCCCCGCUGUCUCUCUCCACUCUUUGGUCUGAACUUAUGGCCCCAUGCUUUAAUCUGUCUCCACGUGUUUGGUUUUCAGCUUAGUUACUAUGUUUAAUCAAGCACCCACUACUGAAAGAAAGGGAAAUUUUUCAUAAACUUUUGUUUAGUAAUUUUUCACAUCUUGUAUUUACACAAUUUUUCCAUGUAAACAAGCACAGCCAUUAAGUAGGAUUAAAGGAAAAGCAAAAUACACUUUUUUUUUUUUAUCAAUGUAACAAUAUAUUUAACACCAAGAAGAUUUACAAGCCUGAUCAACACAUACAGAGAACUGUAUAUCGUCAGGUGGACUGUUAAUCAACUCACAUAUACACCUAGUUGGUGAUCAGCACAUAGUAGUUUAGUAGCUACAACCAGCACUGGCAGACAACCAACAUGGUGCUCAGUAGAACACCUCAUCACCACUGUUCCUGCAUACAGUAGCUCCAGUCACGAAGUAAGUCAGAGAACCUGAUGUCCUUCCUCAACUUUGACCCAUCUUGAUCACAGCCUAACCAUGCCCACACAGCUGUCUUAAAAGCAAAAUACACUUAAAGAACCCAAAAAAUAUAUCUCAAAUCUGAAAAAAAAAAAAUAAAUAAAGAAAAAGGAUUUCAUAUAUAAUUUUUUUGCAAACAAAGAAAUGUUGUUGGGUACGCCCUUAAGUAAUAAAAUUGAGAUGAUUACAAAAGGUAAGACUAUAAGACAAAGACUCAAACGAGGGAUUUUGUUAUUAAAGACCCCCCUAAAGAUCUUCUCAUAAAAAGGAUUUGUUAAAAAAAGGACUUCCCCAAAAACUUAAAUUUUUUUUUACUGAAAAUGUCUUUAAAAUGAACAAGUUUCAGGGGCAAAGCCAAUCCCCUCAGUGUGUUCAAGUUGUGAAGGUGCACCAACAUGUUUUAUAAUUAUUUGUAGAAACUGUAUGUGACUUUGAGUGGUCCCUCAGGCGAGCAAAUGCUAGAGCACAUGGUUGCACAGACGCAUAUACUGUAAAGCAUAAAGUUGUUUGACAAGAUGCUAAGAAAUAAAUAGAUACAGAUAAUGGUAAAUUUUUUUUGAAACAUAUACACAGGCUGCACUAAUCAAUAUGAGGUGAAACAUAUACUAGUAAAACACAGGACUCAUAACCAAAGAGAACCUGACCAAGAACAUGAAGCUUAUAUAACCAGUAAAUUAUUUACUAAAAAGAAAAGGUUAUUCAAAGAGAACCUGGCCAAGACCAUGAAGCUUAUAUAACCAGUCCUCGUCGUCACUUUCAGUGUCAGCUUGUACCCUUCUUGCUUGAAAUUUGAAAAUCUAAUAAUACCUCCAUCAGAUUUGUAUGUAAGUAUGAAUAGUUUUUUUUUCAUAUGAAAAUGUAAUUCUUAGGAUAGUAUGAAUAGAUCUUAAACUAUAGCCAAUGGCAUUCUGAGUUCAAUUGCAUGCACAAACAAAUUAGCAGAAGAUAUAGAAGAGUAACAGUCUUUACUUAGAACCACACUAAUGAUCAAGAUUGUUGAGGUUCAUAACCCCAUCUUAAAUAAUUAAAUAUUCAAACUUUUCAUGUAUAAAAUUCAUAAGUAACAUCAUUUUGAAAAUGAAAAGUAACAUCACCUCUCUCUUUGGUUCAACUUCCAUUUCCUUGUAUGUACGACUGUAAGAGCCGAGCCUGCUUCUUCUCAACAUUUUCUUUGGUUCGCAGUAUGGUCUGAUACACAAAAUAAAUAGCAACAAAUAAUAAUGUGUGAGGAGAAUGAAAGGUUUCUAUUUAUUUAAAUUAAACAAAAAAUGUGCUAGGGGAUAAGGAGCAGACAGGAAAACAAAGACUGCAGUCAGGAAGAAGCAGAAAUACAGACUGCGCCACUGAACUCACCAUGGAUACAAGUUGUAAUCAAUAUUUGUAGCCCCCAAAUCCUGUAAAAGAAAUAAAUAUAUAACAUCAAAUCAAUCAAUCAAUCAAUCAACCAAUUUGUGUGUGUGAGAGAGAGGGAGAAGAAACAAGUGAGAGAGCGAAAGUAGAGAACCAGUAGAAGAAGAAGAAGAAGACGACGGAGUGAAGACGAUGAAGGAGAUAGAGAAAUAGACGAAGGGGUUUGGACUUCUUGUACCAAUAAGUCUUCUUGUACAUACAGUCACUAGGCUAGUAUGUUUUUUAUUAUCGCCGGUAUGAGAAGAAGGUUUAAAUUAGAGUGAGUUAAUUGAAAAGCAUGUGUUGUCUUCCGAUAAACAUUCCAAUAUCUUACACUGAACAUUUUAGGACUUUGUAAUUUUUUCAUUCAAAUUAGCAAAUGAGAUUAUAAUAUGAAAUGUCAAGCACAAAGAAUGUUGAACAACAGUUAAGGUAAAUAAAAUGUCAAGCACAAAGAAUGUUGAACAACAGUUAAGGUAAAUGAAAUGUCAAGCACUCAAUAAAUUCAAAUGUGUAAACAAAGAGGAUUGAACAACAAUUAACAGAGCUUCCAAUAAGCUCAAAUAUGUAAACAAAGUGUUGAACAACAAUUCAUAUAGCUUCCAAUAAGCUCAAAUAUGGUCCAAUUGGUACAUGGAUGUGAAUUAUGAAAAAACAUUGUACACUCGUGCACUUUCAAACAGCUGAUCUUCAUCACUUCUUCAUGAAUGUCUUCAUUCUCAUCUGAUGUUAUCAACUUAUAAGAACCAUUUAGAGCAAGAACCCUGUUGAAGACUUCAUUCUUGUUGUCAAAACCUGUCAUAGUGUUGAUCAUUUGUGCUCUUACUUUCUUCCCUUGCUCAUGCUGGUGUAUCAUCUUUUAGAAUCUGUUGAACUGUACACUGUCAUGCCUUUUGUUGAAAAUGUACCAAACUCAAUUUCUUCUUUCAGGAUCUGUUGAACUGUACCCUGUCAUGCAUUUCGUUGAAAAUGUACCAAACUCAAUUUCUUCUUUUAGGAUAUGUUGAACUAUACCCUGUCAUGCAUUUUGUUGAAAAUGUACCAAACUCAAUUUCUUCCUUCAGUUUUACGAAGUUUCACCUCCUUCAAUAGAUCUAUCAUCUACCUGUAAGAGAUUGAAUGUAUUUGUUCUGCACAACCAUUACAUCAAUGUUAGGAAAUGAUGGACCGUAGAUAUAAAAGAAGUAAGAAAAGAUCUAAUAAUCACUUCAGAAAUUAGUAAGAUUCCACAAUAAUGAUCCAACAUUUUAGAGCUCUACCCAGUAAACUAAUAAGCAAGAGAUUAUUGUUUUAGUAAUCUACGAAAAGAAAAAAAAAUAAUCUACCUUUGCCGGUGGAUGAGACAUUUUUAUUUGCCGGUUUUAGUGCCCCUGCCAAAAAAAAAAAAAAAAAAAAAAAAGAGAAAUCCACACCUCAAUUUGCAAUACUUCAAAAGCAUGUCAUCUUUUACUUUUUGUUCCCAGAUGGAGAAGUUCAAAACUAAAUGCAUAAAGAAUUAAGUAGUGCAAGACUUUGCGUACUUCAUACGAACUCCUAAUACAUACAUCAUAAAUUCAUUCAAUAUGCAUAUAAUAUUUCAAUAAAUAGAUUUUCUUGUUCAAUUGAGUGAUGAUGGCAAAAUUGAGAUUCAGUUUCCUUUCUUUUAUCCUCCUUCUGUUGUGGUUGUUCAGCUGAAGAAGUUAAAGAAGAAGAAAGAAGGUCAAAUUGUUUGAGAAGACUACCCAGACCCUUUGCCAAACAUGUGAUUGCUAAUUAAAUUAGGAAGAAGACAUAUCACACUUACAUUAUCAAGCAGUGUUGCUCGGUAUCUUUCAAAUCUGUUAUCGUAGCGCCUUAAUUUAAUAGCUGAAGACGCGUCCCAGUAAUUAGCUUGGUUGUCAUGUAUGUUUGCCAUGGGAUGUCUCUGUUGAGAACCUUGAAGAAGAACACAUGGUGAUCAAAGGUAGAAGAUUCGUAUUUGGCUUACAUUAAUAGUCAAAAACUAAAUCCUGGCAAUCCUUACUAAUAUUAAUUAAUAAGUACAAAAUUCCAAUUCUCAACUUAAAAACGCCAAAUUCAUGCUUUAGAAAUUAGCAUUUAAUAGAUAAUCUAUAUUCCAUGGUAAACCUAAAUAAAGCGCAUUUUUCAAUCAAUAAUGGCCAAAAAAAAUUGAGAAAUGUUCAAUUUUAAGAAUUGAAAAGGUGAGAUGAUGUUAAGGUUAGUCUUAAAAAAAAAAAAGUCAUUACAAACCUGUUUCUUCUUUAAAUCUGCAUCAUCCAUGAAGUUGUUUUCUUAAUAGAAGGAUCAUCCAUGAAGUUAAAAAAGCCCUUACAGCUCCAAAUGUGAGCUGCAACUUGUAAGCAAGUUUUGAAAAUAAAAAUCUCUCCAUAGGAAAAGAAGAAAAAAUCAACUCCAAAAUAUAAUACCAAUAUCCUAAGAACAGAAACAGCAAACUGAGUUUUUGUUAGGUCUUCUUAGUUGUCACUUCUUCAUGCAGGUCCUCAUCCUCACCUGCAUCAAAGCUUAAUUGAUUCCUAUCCUCCAUUUAUUGAUAAACUAAGGCAAAUUUUAGGAAAAAUGAUUUCAAACCAAUUUCUAAACAAUUUCACUUACCUGAGAGCUUUAAUUGAUUGCAAAUCUCUGUAACGAUCUGUAACCAAAACAUUAUUUUCAAUUGAUAGAGAACCUGCGAAUUUAAACUUUUCUUAAACGAAACAUCCAGAAGUUAACAAACGAAGGCGGUAUUGAAAAAUGAGGAUUGAGGAUCAUAUAUUUGAUUAUAUUCUAGUUGGUUUCUUCGUUCAAAGAUAGCGAAUGACUUUGCAUAAGCAUAAGGAAUACCUGUUUUUUUAUCCUUCAAUUGCUUCAAAAGAUCGAAUUUGAGUAACAAAAUUAUGCUGUCGAAGGUGGACAAAUUGACGAUGUUGAAAAACACAAACCUUAUCAAUCUACACAUGAACGAUGUUGUAGUAGUUAUAAAUGAUUAGGUUUCCAUCUACACGAUGAUCGUUAAUUCAGAAAUUUCAAAACCAGUUGGGGAGAAGAAUAGAACAAAUGGAAGGAAUUUUCAAUAUUAUUAUUAUUUUACAGUUUGCAACAAAACCAAAUUAAAUCUUCACAAUCCUAACAACUUCCAUGCGCCAAACCAGAGGAACACGUGGAUAGGCCGAAACAGUUUCUGAAUGUCGUAGACAAACGGGACACGUGGAUAGGCUGAAACAGUUUUUCUGCUUCAGGCUUCUUAUAAAGUAAAAGAUACAGAACAAGUAGAAGUCUUGUUUCUUCUGGUCUUUUCUCCUUGUAUAUAUAUCUUUGUAUGUAUCUUUGUAUUUAUAAUAUGAAUUAGUUGUUUGAGUUUUCUGUCAGAUAAUUAAAAUUUUAGGUUUCAAGGAGGAUGGCUGUUUCUUAUCGAUUUUUUUUGGAGAUCUUAGGUUGUGUUUGUAAUGCUUUAAUACCUUUUAAUUUAUUUUGGUAUGUUCGUACACUACCCCCUGUUUAUACAACGAUGAAGAGAAAGGAAUUGGAUCCGGCAGAUGACUUAUGGCUUGAAAACAUAAUUUCUUUCAUAACACUUGCUGUUCUUAUAUUUCUUUCGGCGUUCCUUUAUUAUCCUCGCCCUCGCCUUCCUUCUUCUUCUGAUGUGGAAAAUAAACCAAAAAAAGCCUGAUAAACCUAGCUCGUAGCUCGAUCUAUGCAGUGUGAGACAGACUUUUAAAGAGUCCUGAUGGAUGUUCUCAUAUCUAUUGCUUUCAAUUUGUAUUUUAAAUUUUUUUAAUUAUUAUUAAUCUUAUUUUUUAGAUGAAUGGUACACCUUUAUUCAAGUCAUAUAUAUUUCUUUCUUUCUUUUUUUUUUUAUUUGGUGCUAUAAAAACAUAUGUUAUAAUAAUGAACCAUCAGGUUCACAUCUGCAGGAAUAAUAUUGUCUUCUAUAACAUCAAAAUAAUGAAUUUAUAGUUGAUUUUAGAAAAAGUAGAUGAUACAGGAGAAUUUUAGUAUACCGAAAAAGGAAAAAUACGUAUAUGGAUCAUGCCACAGAGAUGUCUAUUUUUAUUUUUUUUAAAACAAGUCACACAACAUAUAUUUGUGAGGUCAUCCAGAAGAUCUAUUUUUUAUCAUGAGAUACAUAAUACUCUAGUCUUACAUGUACUAGAAUCAUCAUCAUUCCAACCAAGCAGAAACGAACCAUUCACUCACAGGCAAGCAAGGAGAGCAUAAAUAUGUCUUUUUAUAUUAGACUUACAUCUAUCACAUUAAUCAGAAACUUAAGAACUAAUAAGCAGUCUUUCACUGAGACCAACAUUAAUGAACAACUUUUCAGAAGAAGAAAAAAAAAAAUUCCAUCCUGCAGGAUGAUGAAAAAGGCUGAGCAUGUAUAUAUCGACAAUGGUUGGUCGUGUGAUGUAGUUACCUGGAAUGCACUUAUUGGAGGCUACAAUGAGAACGAAGAUCAUCCACAACAAGCAAUUAAGGUUUUCAAUUUGAUGAGAGAAGAUGAUUCCCUUGUAGACUACAUCAUCUUGGUUGUUUUCAGUACUGGAUGAACUACUAAUCUUGGGAUGCCAAUUUACGCACACAUAAUUCUUGCUGGUUUUGAACGAGACUAUUAUGCGCAGAAUUAUCUUCUCGCUAUGUACGUAUACCAGAUGUGGUGAUCUUUGUUCAAACAACAUACUCUUUAAACAUUUUGAUAUAAAAAUAUGUUGUUUCAUGAAAUGCAGUGGCUGCUGUAAAUGCUCAUCAUGGACGUAGUGAAGAGGCAUUGAAGCUUUUUGAAGUUAUGCACCGAGUUAGGUUGGACCUGGAUAGUUUUAGGAUCUCUGAGGGUCUUCCCGCUUGUGCAAAUUUAGCUUUAUUGGAUGAAGGUCGACAAAUCCACAACCUUGUCAUUAAGACGGGGCUUACUGCAAGGCUGGACUAAAUUCCCAACAAAGAAUGAAGUCAGUGUGAGUAGUUUACUGCAGGGCUGGACUAAACUGCACACAAGGGGAACCAGUUACCUGCUCUCAAAAAUUCUUCCUAUUUCACUACUGUGGACCACAUGCAUGGGAGGUGAGCAACAAAGGCAAUUUUUGAGAAUAUCUCCUUUAAUCUGGACAUGUUGGUGAAUAAAGUUAAGAAUUCAAUCUGAGCCUGGCUGGACAUCACAUACAUGAAGAAUUCAGAUUGCAGGAACAUGAGCUAAAGUGAGAGGGCCGCAGACUUGCAAUGCUGUGACACCCUACUGCUGUCAAUUUGUUUAUAGGAGCUUAUUGUAACAAGGUCCUUAAUGUAUUCUCGAGUUUGUAAUGUUGCCUUCAUGCACCAAAUCAAAGGAGGUGAGAAGUUCUCCUUGUCAUGUUAGAGGUUACAAGAUAUGCACCUUUUGAACACAACUAAAACAUAUCUCGGAAACUAUAGUUUAUCUGCUAAGUUUUUAUUCAUCUAUAGAUUACAUUGUAUCAGUAUCAAUUUCAUAACAAAAAAAUGAAGAAUAUGCUCAUAUCUGUUCAUUUGAUGUACGCCUUUCUGGUGUUUCCCCAAUCCCAGAUUGGCAAUUGGCUUCAGGCCUUCAGUUUCCUUCUUUUUUAUUCUGUUUGGGAUUGUGUUUUAGUGCAAUCAAGAACUUGGAAAUUUGAGUCCUUGUUUAGUCGUUGUUUUUGUUAAUUUACCCGACAGGGUAAACCAUGGAGGGGAGCAUGAAAGUGGCUACCGAGGCCUUGUUAGUGGAAAGAAGCUACCAGUGGAAAACACAUUUGGUAUACUCCAUCCAUGGAAUAGGAAGGCAUAUAUUAGUCUUUCUACGCUGUUGUCCUUGGAUCUAACCCUCCCACUCUUUUCAGACAGUGAUUUUUUUUUCACUCAUUUCAUCACUUGUUGAACCAACAUGGUCUUGUCAUCUUAUAAAAAAAAAGUUUACUGAAGAAGUUGGUUUAUUUGAGUUCUUGUAGAAGUAGCUUUUAUCAAACUCUUAGUAUGGGAAAAUGUAUGAAGGUAAUUGUUGAGGUUGUCCACAUGAAUGCGCUUACACUAUCAUAAUUUAUCUUGCUAUUUAUUUCCUAUGUAUCAGACCAGAUUGCAACUUAACCAAAGAAAUCGUUGAGAAGAAGAAGGCUCUGAAGCUGAACACGAAGAGGUGAUGUUACUUCUAAGUUUCAAUAUGAUGUUCUUAUGACUUUUAUACAUGAGAAGUUUGAACGAAUAAUGGGUAAAAUGACCGCAACAAUGCUAAUCAUCGACCUUUAUUUCCCAUUCCAUAUAUCUUCUGCUAAAUUUGUUUGAAUUGUGCAUCCUAUUGAACCCAGUAUGCUGCAAAAAUGGUUUUACUAGAAGUCUUCUUUAGCUAUUUGGCUAUAGUUUGAGUAGUCAAUUCAUACAUUCAUACAUAAAGGAGGUAUUUUUUUGGUAAAUAUAAAGGAGGCAUUAUAUUGUUUACUGGUGAACAUAGCUCUUAGUACUUAUUCAAAAUUUAAGCAGGAAGAGGUACAAGCUGACAGUCUGACACUGAAAGCGAUGACGAGGAACAGCAGAUCUACGAUCCUCUCAAGUUGUCAAUGGGUUGGGACGGGAAGUCAAUUUUUUUACCAGUUACAUAAUAAGCUUCAUGGUCAUGGCCAGGGCUCUAUGAAGUAUGAACGACCUUCUCUGUAUAGGAAAUACUUGACUACUGCCCCCCAGUGGCGUAGCCAGGAUUUUAAGUCAGGGUGCGCACUCAAUUACACGAUGCAUAAAAAAAUAUAUAUAUUCUAGUAAACAACCAAAUACUGAAAGAAAAAAAAAUUUCUAGUAAACAAACAAAUACUAAAAAAAAAAAAAUUCUAGUAAACCAAAAAAGUGUUAAUCAAAUGAUCAAUCGACAAAUUACCAGAAAAAUCAAUUCAAAAAUAUGUAAUUGAAUAGUGUGGGCAUAAAAUUAACUAGAAGAAAAACAAGAAUUUUAUAAAAAAAUACUAAAAAAAAAAAGAUUAAUCAACAAAUUAUGAGAAAAAUCAAUUCAAAAAUAUGUAAUUGAAUAGUGUGGGCAUAGAAUUAACUAGAAUAAAAACAAGAAUUUUAUAAAAAAAAAUACAAACUUUGCAAACCAGAAAUCCCUAAUUAAAUAGAAUAAACUUAAAAUAUUAUAAUUUUGGAAUAUAAAUAUAUACAAUCAAAUCAUAAAAAAAAAACUUAUAAAUAAUAAUUUAUUAGAAAUUAAAUUAAAUUGCAUUGGUAGGUAGCGAGAGAGUCAGAGAGAUACCUGUAGGAUGUAGUGUACUAGUACUUGAGAGAGAGAGAAUAUCUUACGUUUUGACUUCCCACGUCACCUUAACCCUAUCCCAUAAAUUUGGGCCCACUUUUUAUAUAUUCAGUUCAUAUUCCAAAUCAGUACACUAACAAUAUCUAAAAGUGUUUUAGUCACACAAGGAAACAAGUAUUAAAAAGAUUUGAUCCGAUCCUAAUGAAUUGCCAACUACGUAUAAAAAAAAAUUAUAAAAAAAUUUCAAAAUCUCAUGAAUUGCCAACUACGUAUAAAAAAAAAUUAUAAAAAAAUUUCAAAAUCUCAGGGUACGCACGUGCGUACCCUUACACCCCUGGCUCCGCCCCUGCUGCCCCACAUGCCAGUACAAAAUUGUAUGCCAUAUAUAUGUACUUUAUAACUCCUGAGUAUCACUAGUUUGUUUCACUUCAUAUUCAUUAGUGCGGUCUUUGUGUUUAUGUUACAAAACUUUCUACCAUUAUCUGUAUUAUCUAUUGUAUAGGGAUUCGAUCAAGUUUGCUGACCUGCUGCUUAACUGGAAAGAUACAAUCAUACAAUGUUCUGUCAAUAACUGAAUGGGGAACUGCAGGGUAUGGAAGUCUGUUCUAAGGGAAUACAGGCUACUGUGAAAGUAUGGCAGUACUAUCUUUCUUUUAAGUAUUUUUGUGAAAAGGGGAUCGGGGCAACUGUGUAAAAGAGGGUAUGUACCUCUGGGACCAAACUGUUGGUGUUCUGGUGUACAGGAACAAUGGGGAUGUAAAGGUUGUUGGAAAUUAUAAAAUUCCAACAUUUGAUAAAAAAAAAAAAAAAAAAAAAAAAUCUAUUGAUUCUUGUUCUAGCAUUUGCUCGCCUGAGGACUACUCAUUGUCACAUACAAUUUCUACAAAUUAAUAAUUUGAAAACAUGUUGGUGCACUUCCAGAACUUAAACACCCUGAAUGGACUUGGCUUUGUCCCAUAAAACUGUUCAUCUUAAAGACAUUUCCAGUAAAAGAAAAUAUUACAGUACUACAUACAUAUGUUGAGAAUUGAUGCAUCGUCAUCGUCCAUGUCAGAUUAGUUUCUACAGGUCAGUCCUAGUCAGUUAUUUGUCCAGGUCAGAGUCCAUGUCAUUAGUCCUAUAACUAAGUCUAAGUAGUGUAUUAGCUACAGGAGUUGUGUUCCUUAUUUUCAGUUUACAGUUUAGAGUUGAAGGAAGUGGAGUUAUGGAUUAAUGGUCUGUGAAGUGGGGUUAUCCACUAAGAGUUCUUAGUCUAUAAAUAGUUGUAAUAAGAUAAUUUGUUAUUCAAGUUAAUUGAGUUGAGUUUUAUGAAUACAAAGUAUUCAAUUGUCAUUCAAAGUUCUCUGUUUCAUUGUUUUUACUUUAAAUUGUCAUUCUUAAACCAACAACAUAUUUAGAUGGAACUUUUUGGGUAAUAAGUAUCAAAAAAAAUUAAAUUAAAUAUAAAGUUUGAAAUAUCAUUAAAAUUGUUGCAACAACUUACAAAUUGAAACAAAUACUAGGAGGAAACAAAAAAAUUUAAAAACUGGUAACUGCAUGUGCUUUAGGCUUUUUUUGCUUUUUUUGCUUUCUUUAAAAACGAACAUAGAAGAUGAAGAGCCAUCCAAGUAAAAAAGAAUGCUACUAUGGAAAGUGUGUGAUGAUAUUUUAGCCUCGCCAAGUCAGCAACCGGAUUGCGCCUUUUCUCUAUUAAACGAAGGUGUAGUGCCAACAUCCAUACAGUACUCAAACCCGAUAACAAAGUACAAGCUAAAGUUAAGAUCCACAUGAAAAGUUCAUAACAUGUAAGAAAUUUCGCCAUCCUGUAAAGCAGAAAAACAAAACAAAAAAGAAAAUUGAUAGAAGAGAAGUAGAGAACCAACAACAAGAAGACGCUCAACCCAAUCCCUUAUAGACGAGGUUCUUAUAUAGUUAUAUAGACAAUAAAAGUAGAAGACUUGGAGUGCUUGUUCCACUUUGGUUCGGACUCGGAUACAAUUCCAAAGUUCCAACACUACUCGUGUUUGAAAUUGGAGUUUGGUUUUGAUAACGUCUUCUAGAUCCAAAACAUGAACCCAAUCUAUGUUUUUUAUGUACCUUGGAUGUGCCGACACAACAACAUCGAAAGCCCAGUUCUUCGGGCUUUUAACCCAAAUCUGCACAGACCGGAAAGGGAAAUCAUAUUUCACCCCGGUCUUUAUAAAGAGCACCCUUUGGAUUAGGGUGUGAGUUUGGUUUUUGGUGUAAGGGGUAGACUAUUUGAUUGGAUUGGAUUACAUGGUUGAACUGAACCCACGUUCGAUAAAGUCCUCUAGAUGCUAAAAUAAUGCAACCCCACAUUUUCAAAAGUUAAGACCUUCAACAAAAAUGAUAAUAAGUAAGAAGAAAACCCUCCAUCCUGUGAAAACAAAAUUGAUAGUAAAGAAAUAACAAGCAAAAGAGAGAAACACCAAGACAAACAAGACUUCUAAUACUACUCUGCCAUCAAAGCUGCUGAGGCGCUGACCAAAAUUAAACAGGCCUUUAGGCCCAAUAUUAAAUUUAAAGGGACUUUGGGCCAUACUACCGAACCGACCCGCUUCUUAUUGUAAAAUCCAAUUUCCAAAUCCAUUAUGAAGCCGACUCUGGGAGAUCGAUGGCUGCAAAUGCACCUUCAACCCAACCCAACCCAAUAGCGUACCCUAUGGAAAACCUAGUCCAUAGUCCCAAACUCCAAACAAACUAGGAGUUCUAAGACUCUAAGGAGACUACUUUGUCUUGUCUUGGAAAUUGAAUCCUUCCGAACCCCAACUACUACAGGCAAUAAAUACAGAACAAGUACAAGUCUUCUAGCUUCUUGUCUUUUCUAUAUAAGAAAACCUCCCUCCCUCCCUCCCUCCCUCCCUCCCUCCCUCCGUAGGUUUGUUUCUCUCUUUGGCCUUGUUUCUUUUCUACUAAGUAUCUAUCUUUUUCAUGGCUUGUUGUUAUCGAGUUCUCUUAGAGAUUUUAGGGUGUGCCUGUUCUGUUUUAUGGCCUUUGAGUGGUUUGUGGCUGGUGAGUUUAAGAAUUCGUCAUACAUUGGUCAGGUUGGAGUUGCAGGAUCCGGUCCAUGACUUUUUGUGGGGUAGUAUAAGGAAUGAAGUCACAGUUUCGUUCAUAACAUUCUGUGCUCUUCUUUCUCUAUGGUUGUUAGUUGAUUUUCUCCUUGAAUCCGACACCACCAGCAAAGAAAAAGCAAAAAAAGCCUAAACCAGUUGCAUGAACUAGUAGUAUUUGGGGUUUCUCUUAUCAAUUGUAUCUUGUUGCCACAAUUUUACUGAUAUAUUUCAAUUUAUUAU
rnacentral:lncRNA from 1 species